GACGAACGCUGACGGCGUGCUUAACACAUGCAAGUCGAAGGGAGUGGCUAACGGGUGAGUAACACGUUAGUAACCUGCCCUUUUCUUUUGGAUAAGCCUGAGAAACUGGGUAUCAUACUUUCUGGCUUGUGAUGGGCUCGUGGCUUAUCAGCUUGUUGGUGGGGUGAUGGCUUACCAAGUAUUUGACGGGUAGCCGGCCUGCGAGGGGGGUCGGGCACACUGGGACUGAGAUACGGCCCAGACUUCUACGGGAGGCAGCAGUGGGGGAUAUUGCACAAUGGACGAAAGUCUGAUGCAGCGACGUCGUGUGGGGGAUGAAGGCCUUCGGGUUGUAAACUCCUUUCGCCAGCGGAAUGGUAGUGGGUAAAGAAGCGCCGGCUAACUACGUGCCAGCCGCCGCGGUAAUAC
rnacentral:rRNA from 1 species